CCUAUGUUGGCAGACUUCUCGUUUUGUUGUCAUUCUUCAAUCUUUUCACAGGUGACAUCACAAACAUGACAUGAUUAUUGAAAAUAAAAAUUUUAUGUUUCUGUGGACCAUCUGUUGGUUAUGCACUGGUAUUCAAUACACCAUUUCAAUUCAUAAAAUAAAGGACAAAAUGGCCAUUUUAGAAAAAAAUAAAUCUAAAGGACAGAGAAGUAAAAUAAAGGACUGUCCUUUAAAUAAACCAUGUAUAAUCACUGUAGUCAUAAGGCAUUGUGUGUCAUAGUGCUUGGACCAAUAUUAGAGACCAAUGUACCAUAGUGCUAUGGACACAUAAACGUGUCCAUAACAGUCAAAGGGUUAAUUUAAAAAUGGGUAUUUUUUUGCUUUUUUGUCAACAGAUGAUGGCAGUUUCCAUUCUGUAAGAAUACUAAUUGAAGGGGGUGAAACAAAUCUUUC
rnacentral:lncRNA from 1 species